CCUACGGGAGGCAGCAGUAGGGAAUCUUUCACAAUGGGCGAAAGCCUGAUGGAGUAACGCCGCGUGCAGGCUGAAGGCCUUCGGGUUGUAAACUGCUUUUAUAAGCGAGAAAUAUGAUGGUAACUUAUGAAUAAGGAUCGGCUAACUACGUGCCAGCAGCCGCGGUCAUACGUAGGAUCCGAGCAUUAUCCGGAGUGACUGGGUGUAAAGAGUUGCGUAGGUGGCAUAAUAAGUAGCUAGUGAAAUCUGGUGGCUCAACCAUUCAGACUAUUAGCUAAACUGUUAAGCUCGAGACCGUUAGGGGUAACUGGAAUUUCUAGUGUAGGAGUGAAAUCCGUAGAUAUUAGAAGGAACACCAAUAGCGUAGGCAGGUUGCUGGGACGGUUCUGACACUAAGGCACGAAAGCGUAGGGAGCAAACGGGAUUAGAUACCCGUGUAGUC
rnacentral:rRNA from 1 species